rnacentral:rRNA from 1 species
CCUACGGGAGGCAGCAGUGGGGAAUAUUGGGCAAUGGAGGAAACUCUGACCCAGCAACGCCGCGUGAAGGAUGAAGGUUUUCGGAUUGUAAACUUCUGUCGCGAGGGACGAAGAAUGACGGUACCUCGUAAGAAAGCACCGGCUAACUACGUGCAAGCAGCCGCGGGAAUACGCAGGGGGCGAGCGUUGUCCGGAAUGACUGGGCGUAAAGGGAGGGUAGGCGGUAAUAUAAGUUAGAUGUGAAAUCCCGCGGCUCAACGGCGGAACUGCAGCUAAAACUAGAUAGGUGGAGUGCAGGAGAGGUAAGUGGAAUUCGUGGUGUAGCGGUGGAAUGCGUAGAUAUUAGGAGGAACACCAGAGGCGAAGGCGACUCACUGGACUGUAACUGACGCUGAGGCUCGAAAGCGUGGGGAGCAAACAGGAUUAGAUACCCCUGUAGUC